UACGUAGGGGGCUAGCGUUGUCCGGAAUCAUUGGGCGUAAAGCGCGCGUAGGCGGCCCGGUAAGUCCGUUGUGAAAGUCAAAGGCUCAACCUUUGAACGCCGAUGGAUACUGCCGGGCUAGAGUCCGGAAGAGGCGAGUGGAAUUCCUGGUGUAGCGGUGGAAUGCGCAGAUAUCAGGAGGAACACCAAUGGCGAAGGCAGCUCGCUGGGACGUGACUGACGCUGAGACGCGAAAGCGUGGGGAGCAAACAGG
rnacentral:rRNA from 1 species